rnacentral:lncRNA from 1 species
CCUUGUCCCAAGUCCAUGCCCCGUGGCACACCCCAUGGAUGAGCACAAACCGCUUCUGGUUCUUAUUCUCCAUUGCCUUUCUUACUCUCAGCAUCUUGGUUCAACACUAAUAUAUAUGGUAAGUUUCCCACAGAUAAUCUUUGCAUAUUGACUGUUAGUUUUUGGUCGUUCUCUGAGUUCCAUUGACUGUUAGAUUUCUCAUUUCAAAUAUAGUAAGCAAUAAAGUCUGAACCUUUAGAAAGAUCCUUUUAGAACACACUUAAUUGUAUCAAAUCAAGAUACAUUUUUUGUUGGUUGACUUGAAGACUCCACAUGAGGUAGUUUGUUGCCAUGUUGGAUUUCGUAGUAAUUGUUUCAGUGACUGUCACAGGUGAGAAGUGGCCAUAGUAUUUAGUAUCUGCAGGAAAGUUUUUGGAAAGAGAGAUUGUAAAAUUUGUAGUUUUUGAAAGUGAAUGCUUUAUUGGAGAAGAGAUGUACAAAUUUAUAGGGAUACAAUGGAGAGUCUAGGAAUAUGUUUAUUAUAGUUCUCUUAUGAUCUCUAUUUACUAAAUCAUUCUUCUAAAAUAUUGUUUCUCAUAUGGCUUUUUGUUGUGGUGAAGUUGAAAUUCAUUACUAAUUUGCAGUAACGAUCUCAGGUUUAUUUAGGCGUAUUUAUCUGCAAUCUCCAAGAGAAGAGCACAGAGUUCUUGAGGCUUAGAGAACAUUGGCAUAUGAUCUGCAUCUUUGAUCUCCAGUACUUCCUUCACCGGGAAGUCAUUGAUCAUCCCACGCUGGUAAUCCACAGGUACCGCAACGUCCUCUCCGCAUACGAUAUAUAUACGUGUAACGGAUCCGUACCUGUCCUCACUGAAGCUUAUUGUCCCUGCCAGGUUGUUUGUCAUGAACGGGCUUACCCUCACCGACAUUUUCGCCAAUUCAAAAUCCUAAACCAACACAACAACAAUUAACAAAAGUUUAACUGAGGUUUACAAGCAAUCCCAUUUUAGUUUUUAUGAGGCUUGGAGUCUUACUUGG